rnacentral:rRNA from 1 species
UAGAUAAGUUGGAAGUGAAAUCCUAUGGCUUAACCAUAGAACUGCUUCCAAAACUGUCUAUCUAGAAUAUGGGAGAGGUAGAUGGAAUUUCUGGUGUAGGGGUAAAAUCCGUAGAGAUCAGAAGGAAUACCGAUUGCGAAGGCGAUCUACUGGAACAUUAUUGACGCUCAGAUGCGAAAGCGUGGGGAGCAAACAGGAUUAGAUACCCUGGUAGUCCACGCCCUAAACGAUGCACACUAGUUGUUGCCUUGCUAGACAAGGCAGUAAUGCAGUUAACACAGUAAGUGUGCCGCCUGGGGAGUACGGUCGCAAGAUUAAAACUCAAAGGAAUAGACGGGGACCCGCACAAGCGGUGGAGCAUGUGGUUUAAUUCGACGAUACGCGAAGAACCUUACCUGGCCUUGACAUAGAGAGAACUUACUAGAGAUAGUUUGGUGCUAGCUUGCUAGAACUUUCAUACAGGUGCUGCACGGCUGUCGUCAGCUCGUGUCGUGAGAUGUUGGGUUAAGUCCCGCAACGAGCGCAACCCUCGUGUUUAGUUACUAACAGUUCGGCUGAGGACUCUAAACAGACUGCCUGGGUAACCAGGAGGAAGGUGAGGACGACGUCAAGUCAUCAUGGCCCUUACGGCCAGGGCUACACACGUGCUACAAUGGGGUAUACAAAGAGCAGCAAUACCGCAAGGUGGAGCAAAUCUCAUAAAAUAUCUCCCAGUUCGGAUAGUAGUCUGCAACUCGACUACUUGAA